rnacentral:piRNA from 1 species
AAUUAGAAGUCAACUCAAUGAGA